rnacentral:rRNA from 1 species
CGCGGGAUUAGGCUUUUGCCAAGAGUAAAUAUCUUGGCGAAUAACUGAUGGGUAAGACUGGUGCCAGCAGCCGCGGUAACACCAGCGUCACGAGUGGCAAUCGUAUUUAUUGGGUCUAAAGCGUCCGUAGCCGGUUUGAUAAGUCUUUUGUGAAAUCGUUGUGCUUAACAUAACGGUAUGCAAAAGAUACUGUUGGACUUGGAACUGGGAUGAGUCAGAGGUAUUCUGUGGGGAGCGGUAAAAUGCUAUAAUCCUCAGAAGACCACCAGUGGCGAAAGCGUCUGACUAGAACAGAUUCGACGGUGAGGGACGAAAGCCAGGGGAGCAAAACGGAUUAGAUACCCGAGUAGUCCUGGCCAUAAACGCUGCGAGCAAGGUGUCGCGUAUCCUUCGUGGAUGCGCGGUGUCGAAGAGAAGUCGUUAAGCUCGCCACCUGGGAAGUAUGGUCGCAAGGCUGAAACUUAAAGGAAUUGGCGGGGGAGCACCACAAGGGGUGCGGCGUGCGGUUUAAUCUAAUUCAACACAGAGAAUCUCACCAGGAGCGACGGCAGGAUGAAGGUCAGUCUAAAGGGCUUACCAGACGAGCCGAGAGGUAGUGCAUGGCCGUCGUCAGCUCGUGCUGUAAGGUGUCCGGUUAAGUCCGGCAACGAGCGAGACCUGUAUCUACAAUUGCUAACGACUCUUUUAGGAGAAUCGAGCACAUUGUGGAGACUGCCUUGGAAACAAGGAGGAAGGCGCAGGCUACGGUAGGUCUGUAUGCUCCGAAUCUUCUGGGCUACACGCGCGCAACAAUGGUAAGGACAAUGUGAUGCGACUCUGAAAAGAGAAGCUAAUCCUCUAAACCUUAUCUUAGUUCAGAUUGAGGAUUGUAAUUCAUCCUCAUGACGAUGGAAUCCCUAGUAAUCAGACGUCAUCAGCGUCUGGUGAAUAUGUCCCUGCUCCUUGCACGUAUUCGCCGAAUCACUAGU